AUUGAACGCUGGCGGCAGGCCUAACACAUGCAAGUCGAGCGGAUGAGAAGAGCUUGCUCUUCGAUUCAGCGGCGGACGGGUGAGUAAUGCCUAGGAAUCUGCCUGGUAGUGGGGGACAACGUUUCGAAAGGAACGCUAAUACCGCAUACGUCCUACGGGAGAAAGCAGGGGACCUUCGGGCCUUGCGCUAUCAGAUGAGCCUAGGUCGGAUUAGCUAGUUGGUGAGGUAAUGGCUCACCAAGGCGACGAUCCGUAACUGGUCUGAGAGGAUGCUCAGUCACACUGGAAAUGAGACACGGUCCAGACUCCUACGGGAGGCAGCAGUGGGGAAUAUUGGACAAGGGGCGAAAGCCUGAUCCAGCCAUGCCGCGUGUGUGAAGAAGGUCUUCGGAUUGUAAAGCACUUUAAGUUGGGAGGAAGGGCAGUAAGUUAAUACCUUGCUGUUUUGACGUUACCGACAGAAUAAGCACCGGCUAACUCUGUGCCAGCCGCCGCAGUAAGAC
rnacentral:rRNA from 1 species